CAGAUACAACUCUGAAACCACUGUACUUUAUCUACAGGUCUUCAACAGGAAGUAACAGGAACAUAGUUGUGACUCGUAGAAGAAGGUCUCCUAUAUAUAGGCACAUGCCGAAUAUGACAUCUAGGAAGGAGAAAUCAAAAACAUAAACAGGAGCUAAAAGAGAAGACAAUAGUUCUUCAGAAAAAGUUCAAAGUGGAUGUUGAAUCAUUUUACAAGUCAACAAUGUGACAUUUUGACAUAUAAAGUAAAUAUUAUGCUGUCUCAUGCCUUUGAGAUUUUGGAUUAAGGAAUAACAUCUGAAUCACUGACGACUUAGCACGUUCUACUG